rnacentral:rRNA from 1 species
GGAUGGACCCGCGUCUGAUUAGCUAGUUGGUAAGGUAACGGCUUACCAAGGCGACGAUCAGUAGCCGACCUGAGAGGGUGAUCGGCCACAUUGGAACUGAGACACGGUCCAAACUCCUACGGGAGGCAGCCGUGGGGAAUAUUGCACAAUGGGCGAAAGCCUGAUGCAGCAACGCCGCGUGAGGGAUGAAGGCCUUCGGGUCGUAAAACUCUGUCCUCAAGGAAGAUAAUGACGGUACUUGAGGAGGAAGCCCCGGCUAACUACGUGCCAGCAGCCGCGGGAAUACGUAGGGGGCUAGCGUUAUCCGGAUUUACUGGGCGUAAAGGGUGCG